rnacentral:rRNA from 1 species
GGCGUAGGCGGGAAAGAAAGUCAGCCGUGAAAGCCCGAGGCUCAACCUCGGAACAGCGUUUGAAACUUCUUUUCUUGAGGGUAGGCGGAGAAAACAGAAUUCCACAAGUAGCGGUGAAAUGCGUAGAGAUGUGGAAGAAUACCGGUGGCGAAGGCGGUUUUCUAGCUUAUUCCUGACGCUAAGGCCCGAAAGCUAGGGGAGCAAACA